AAACACAUUCAUUUGCCUCCUCCCCUUUGCUGUUGAUUUUCUCAUCCUCCUUCAAGCUACGCUUCCAACCCCCUCGAACAACCCAGGACGUUGCCGUCCCUCGCCGACACUGCCUCCGGAAUCAUCGUCCACGUCCUUGCCGUCGCCGGAUCUGCACCAUCAGGUAAGCCGAAAGCCCUCUUCCGUAGUUGUCUUCUCGCAAGUAUUGACAGACCAAUUUCCAUGGAAUAUUUUUUCAAAAAUUAAGGGAUCAGCUAUUGUAUAACUUAUAUAUGCUGUAAUGUUGCUCCAUAUUCAUUUCCACUUGUGAUUUCGACUUGUGUGAUGUUUGUAUUUUCUAUCUUUGGCCGUCAGUGUUCUGUGAACACAAACACGUCUAUGUACUCAUCCCUUUCGAUCGAUCACUGUACAAGUAAAAUGGAAGAACACUGUGUUGCACCAAGGAUUGAGGCUUCGGUGCAACAUAAUAUUUCUGUGUUAAUUUCUCUUUUAAAUUGACAGAAAUGCAAAACAAUUAUUUUUAUUUUUAUUUUUUUAUUAAUGUUUAGAAUAGAAAAUGAAAAGAUGAAUUUAAAAAAGCCUUACAAUUGGAAUAGACAUUUAUAAAACUCCAAGGUUUUCUUUUAUUGGAAGCAAAUAUGGGCUUUUAUGGUUUAAAUGGUCUUCAGACUCCCUAUUUUUCUUCUCUUUAUCUCUUUCAUUGUUUCCGUGGAAGUGGUUGUAUAACUUUACAAGGUGUUGUUCUCUUUAACGAAGUAAAUAACUUCUUCAAUCAGGGCAUUACCAAUAUUUGAUUAACGGAUCUUGAUAUGUUAAUGGUCAAAUUUUAGUCUCGAAUAAUUCUUCCAAUCAGAAAAUUAUAACAACGAUAUGAUUGCCUUUAAAUUUUGAUUUGUAUUUGUAUAUCCAUGUGGGGCUUGUGGGGAACAUGGUGAAUGUUGCUGUGUUACUUUAGCUGUUUUCUCCAUGACAACAAUUUGUUGCACAGUGGAUUGAGGCUUCGGUGCAAGACAUGGUCCUGUUAUAAUUUCUGUUCUAAAUUGACAAAAUGCAAAAAUGGUCAUAUAAUUUUGAAUUGAUUGGUCAACUAAUUUAUUUGUUUGUAAACUUUUUUUUUUUUGGGUUACUAGCACAUAUGUGCGCGUACAGAUUUUGCAAACUGGUUUCAUGUCGUGUUGUUGUUUUUUUUUUUUGUUUUUUUUUUAAAUUACAAUCGUUUAUAAUCAAGUACUUUUUAUGUAUUUAAAUAGACCAAAAACAACGUCUAUAGCCAAAAAUAGUGCCAAGAUAUAUAUUUUCCUCUUCAUCCUUAUUAUUUUCCUAGUUAGGAAGCUACUAUUUCAUUUUCCAUCUUUCUCAAUGUAUAGAUCUUUUAGUUCUAGAAAAUGAAUGUGUUAAUAGUAUUGCCAAUUGUUUUGUACAUUAUAAUUUUACAAGGUGUUGUUAGUUCAAUUGUGACACUGGUCCUAUACUAUCAGAGUGGAAAUUCAUAUAAAAUCUGAUUCCUUAAUAAGAUUUCAAUGAAUAUUUCAUACCAAUGACUUGUCGAACAUUAAAUAUUAACAGAAUUGUACUAGUCAUUGUACUAGUCUUUGUUAUGCAUGCAUAGAGGAUAUGAAAAGAUGAUGGAAAAAAUUUAGUUACCAAGACAAUAGGGGAUUACUUUUUAGGAAAGACAUGUUGCUUGGUGAGGCAUUGAUGAACCCAUGGGCUUGAGACAAAGACAUGUGCAGCUUUAACUGGAUCUGACUUAUACAACAACUUUGUGUAGAAGAUACAUUCAGUGUCUUUUGUUGUUGACCAUAAGGCUAAUUAAAAGCCAAAAAAAAAAAAAAAAAAAAAAACUACUCAUCAACUAAUUAAGGCAAACCUAUGUAAUUUGUACACACUGUUAGAUUUAAAUGUCAUCCCCUUUAAAAGAAACUAUCUAAUACAUGAGUUUCUUGUUAUUGUAUUGCCUUGGUUCCAAAAGUUUAAUUUUAUCCAUUUUCCUCUUUACUUCUUCAAACUACAUCAAAUUAGUUCAAUUUAUAACAUGUACACAAAAAUUACUAAGAUUAUAGACAUGGCGUCCUCCACGUCAACUGUCAUUUCAUCAUGGCCACCGAGGAUGUGUGCAUGUCCAAAAAAACUAAUUUAGUUCAAUUUAUAACAUGUCCCAAAGUAGAAGAAAACUAAUUUUAAUUCUUUCACUUAUUUAGUCUUAAUUCUUUCAGUUAUUCUCUUUCAUUCCUCACACUACAUCAUAUUAGUUCAAUUUAUAACAUGUACAAAAAAAUAAAAGGAUUAUAGAGAUGGCGUCCUCCAUGUCAACUGCCACAUCAUCAUGGCCACCGAGAAUGUGUGUAUGUGGCUUUGGACAUUGCAUUGUCAAGAUAUCCAGAUCUACCAAAACCCCUGGUCGUGCAUACUACGUUUGUCCUAGUCCUACGGUGCGUUUGUGGAUACAGGAGAUGCUUCGAGGUCGGAAUGAAGCAUUUUAGGGAACUUUUUGGAUGUCAUAGGAUGUGUUCUUAAUGUUGUGCAAGACAUUACUUGAGGAUUGCGGCCUCCUAGUACCACAGCGUCCCCAUGGUGUAGACGUAGUAAAGAGUGUCGGCAUGUUCAUUUUCGUGUUGUGGGGCUUCCUGAGUUGGGAUAUAGAAGACCGUUUCCAACACUCGGGGGAAAUAGUAUGGCGCCAUGUAAUGCGAGUUCUUAAAGCGAUGAAGUUGCUCACGAUUGCACACUGCCGACCGACAAGGUCACAACAUAGUAGACAUCUGUUCUUAAAGUCCCGACGAAAAUAUUUUCCAUUCAGAGUGAGUGUAAUAAUUUUUUGCACAUUUAAUUAUGAAUAGUAACCACAUUUAGAAAAUAAGGGAGAACAUUUUUCGGGUUAAAGCAUUUCUCCUUUACAUUUGCGCAAUUGCUUUUUGUACUUGUAUAGGACUGUAUUGGCGUGCUUGACAUCACACAUGUGGAGGCACAUCUCCCGCCGCAAGAGGCAGCGCCAUAUUUUGGCCGUAAAGGACGACACACGCAAAGCAUACUCGCAGUGUGUGAUUUCGACUUGUGUUUUACUUUUGUAUCUUGCAGAUGGGAGGGUAGUAUGCACGCCAUCAGAGUUUUUAAUGAACUAACACAGGACUCAACCAAACAAUUUCCCAUGCCAGAGGAAGACCUCACACACCAGCAGUCGAUACCAAACCUGACCGCCGAUCAUCACCAUCGCUCGCCACCGGCGCUGUCCACCGGCGCUGGCCGAUCAUCGCUCGUCACCAUCGCUGGCCACAGUGAGAGGAUUUGAGACCACAAGGACAAAGCCUCUGCAAUCUAAGUAAGCUAAGGAGCUUAAAGUGACAAUCCAAUUCCAUUCUGCUGUGCUUUUUGGAGAUUUAAGAUCAAUGGUUUAAGGAGGCAAAAGAGAAACAUUCAACAUUGAAUGCGAUCAUAUAUGGAAAUAUAAUAUAUGCCCAUUAGUACCAUGGUUCCUGGAAUCAAGACGGGGCGGCGGAAGAGAGCAACAAGUGGCAAUGUAUUAUCAGCCUCUGAAGCAUAUCCACAAGAGAUUGGCACCCCGCUGACGUUCUCUGUUGAGACGCAACCACCAGAUGAUACACCAACAGUGGUGGACGAGACGCAGCCAAGUGGAGUGGGGCAAACGAGGUCAACUCGUGUACGAGGACUAACAUUAGGCAAAGGAGUGUAGAAAAAAAUUGCUAGGAGAAAAGGGGAGAAAUUACAAGUCUAUGUCAAUCGGGUGUUAAACGCAAUCACAGGAGGGAAUGCCACCCCAGCGACGAAUGAGUCGGGCCUUCAAAUUAAACGGUUAUGCCCUCUUCAGAGCGUGAAGUCAUGGAGAAAAAUUGAUCACACUACCAAAGAUGCGGUCAUCCAAGCGGUGCUAGUAUGAGAAUCAUCUUGGAGGGUUCAAAUGGUCAUCCUACUAUUCGGUUUGGAGGCAUAAAGUGAGUAGACUUUGCAGCAGCCAACGUGGUGUUUGGAUACAUUAUACAAAGGACCGUAAUCUGAUUUCCAUAAGAUGGCUUUUGGCAUUGACAUGUGGAUCUUCUAUUUUUUUGUCCGGAAGAUAAUUCACAGUUUUGCAAAUUUCGGAAGUUUUUUGUCGUCCUAUACUUUUUGUGGACUGUGGAUCCAUCGUACAUAUAAUUUUUGACGGGGUACAUAGUAUUUUUGGAGCUUCUAUUAAUUGCUCUGGUCGUAUAGAAUCAAUGGACCUUGGAAUUUGGAUGCAUCGUACAUAUAAUUUAUGGCAGGGUACAUAGUAUUUUUGGAGCUUGUAUUAAUUGCUCUGGUGUAUAUAUAUAGAUUACCUUUUGUCGUGGUACAUAUUACCAUGGCAAUUUGUACCUUGGCAAAUGGUCAUAACAAUGCGUAGUAUAGUAAAAAUGUUGUGUAAGAAGGACAUUGUUUUGGUAACGUAUUUGGAAUGUAUGACGUUAUUAUUUGUAA